AGCAGCGUGGCUUAGUGGAAAGAGCACAGGCUUAAGAGUCAGAGGUCGUGGGUUCUAAUUCCGCCUCUGCCA
rfam:Ornithorhynchus anatinus chromosome 7, whole genome shotgun sequence.